rnacentral:rRNA from 1 species
UGCAGUCGAGCGGUAAGGCCCUUCGGGGUACACGAGCGGCGAACGGGUGAGUAACACGUGGGUGAUCUGCCUCGUACUCUGGGAUAAGCCUGGGAAACUGGGUCUAAUACCGGAUAUGACCACGAGUCGCAUGGUUUGUGGUGGAAAGAUUUAUCGGUGCGAGAUGGGCCCGCGGCCUAUCAGCUUGUUGGUGGGGUAAUGGCCUACCAAGGCGACGACGGGUAGCCGGCCUGAGAGGGCGACCGGCCACACUGGGACUGAGACACGGCCCAGACUCCUACGGGAGGCAGCAGUGGGGAAUAUUGCACAAUGGGCGGAAGCCUGAUGCAGCGACGCCGCGUGCGGGAUGACGGCCUUCGGGUUGUAAACCGCUUUCGACAGGGACGAAGCGUGAGUGACGGUACCUGUAGAAGAAGCACCGGCCAACUACGUGCCAGCAGCCGCGGUAAUACGUAGGGUGCGAGCGUUGUCCGGAAUUACUGGGCGUAAAGAGCUUGUAGGCGGUUUGUCGCGUCGUUCGUGAAAACUUGGGGCUCAACCCCAAGCU